rnacentral:rRNA from 1 species
GAUGAAUGCUGGCGGCGUAGAUAAGGCAUGCAAGUCGCAUGGGUUUAGACCCAUGGCGAACGGGGUAGUAACGGGUAGGAACGUACCGAAGAGUCGUGAAUAACUUUCCGAAAGGAUUGAUAAUACGCGAUACGGAGUAAUCUGAAAGAUUUAUCGCUCUUCGAUCGGCCUGCCUCAUAUCAGCUUGUUGGUAAGGUAAUGGCUUACCAAGGCAAUGACGUGUAGGGGAGGUGAGAGCCUGACCCCCACCAAUGGCACUGAGACACUGGCCAUACUCCUACGGGAGGCUGCAGUCGAGAAUCUUCCGCAAUGCACGAAAGUGUGACGGAGUGACGCCGCGUGGUAGAUGAAGUACUUCGGUAUGUAAAUACCUUUUAUGAGUGAAGAAAUUUUUGACAUUAGCUCAUGAAUAAGGGGCUCCUAAUCUGG